UACGUAGGUGGCAAGCGUUGUCCGGAAUUAUUGGGCGUAAAGCGCGCGCAGGCGGCCUCCUAAGUCCGAUGUGAAAGCCCACGGCUCAACCGUGGAGGGUCAUUGGAAACUGGGGGACUUGAGUGCAGGAGAGAAGAGUGGAAUUCCACGUGUAGCGGUGAAAUGCGUAGAGAUGUGGAGGAACACCAGUGGCGAAGGCGACUCUUUGGCCUGUAACUGACGCUGAGGCGCGAAAGCGUGGGGAGCGAACAGG
rnacentral:rRNA from 1 species